AUGGCGGUUCAAGGCGCGGUGCAGGACUGCAGGCCGACGCUGCUGGCGAUCUUGGGACGCCGGGACCCCAAGCAGAGGAUGGAGGCGCAGGCGGCCUCGCGCAAGGAGGAUGACGGCGGAUCAAGAGGUCCUCCUGAUCGGGACGAGGAGGAGGGGGCACAUCGCGAGGAGGACGAGGGGGUCAAGGAAGAGAAGGGUGCUGCAAGGGAGCACUAG
rnacentral:rRNA from 1 species